GUAAGAGCAACUAUUCUCCAUUCACUGGAGUGCAAGAGAGCCAUUGUUCUCCACAAUUAUAAAAAGGACAAGUGAGAGUGAUUUUCACCAGUAAUUAAGGAUCUAAUGAGAGCCGUGACUCUGCACAAAUAGUCCAGGAUCCAGUGAGAGCCAUCAUUCUCCACAUGUAGUUCAGGAUCCACUGAGAGCCAUCAUUCUAAAAGAUUAUGUCAG